UACAGAGGAGCCAAGCGUUGUCCGGAUUGACUGGGCGUAAAGCGCACGCAGGCGGAUACGCGCGUGGGGUGUGAAAUCUGGCCGCUUAACGGCCAGGCGCCAUCCCAUACGGCGUCGUCUGGAGCUGUGCAGAGGUCGGUGGAAUUGCCGGUGUAGUGGUGAAAUGCGUAGAGAUCGGACAGGAACACCCGGGGGAAACCAGCCGACUGGGCAGCAUGCUGACGCUGAGGUGCGAGAGCGUGGG
rnacentral:rRNA from 1 species